AUGGCGGACUGGCCGUCGCUCCCGCCUGAGCUCAUCAGGCGCAUCGCCGACUGCAUCCUGGACACCAACGACCUGGACUGCUACGUGGACUUCCGCGCCGUCUGCCCCACCUGGCGCUCCGCCACCGACGACCCCAAGAAUUCCUCCGAGCUCCGCUUCCGUCCGCACCGGUGGAUCAUCAUCGACGAGGUCUUCGAGAGCCACUCGCGGCUUCUGGUUAACACCGUCAGCGGUCUCGUCGUCCGCAAGGACCUGCCUCUGCUCGGCAGCUACUUUGUGGUUGCUACUACCCACGGCGGCUUCUUCGUCCUCGGCAAGAAGGAGCCCCCUCAUGCAGCGGUCGUCCUCAACCCUUUCACCGGCCACAUGAUCCGCUUCAAGGCGUCGCCCAACUACGUGGGUGUUUGUGCUGCCGCUCUCUCCGGUCUUUUCAUGGGAAAGCUACCUACGAGUUCUGAUCUUUCUGAACUCCGUUCUUCACCCACCCUCAUCUUGCUGUCUGACAGAUGUUACCGGGAGUACUUCAUGGCUGUUCCUGACAGUGUUCGUUUCAGUAUAGACGCCGAGGAUGUGAAAUUAUACGCUUUGUUGCGGCUGGCCGCCGGCGGUGGUAUCUGCGCCACCGAUAGUUGGCAGAGGACGGCGGCUCUGCUUCCAGUUGGUUUGGCUGACAAGAUCUUCAGUUUGAUGAAGCUCGUCACCGACAGCAAUGAGCUCGAGCCUGUGAAGAGCAUUGGCGACCGUGCCAUCUUCAUCGGUCACCGUAUGUGCGUGUCUGUCAAUACGCACAAGUUCCCGUCAAUCGUCCCCAACUGCAUCUACUAUGCGUGCUCCUCAGAUUCUUCACUUGACAUCUACCAGUAUGAUCUCCCGACUGAUAAUGCAGAGAGGGUUUCUGAAGGCAUAGGUUCUCUGAUCAACAGUGGGAUGUCUUUCGCCAACCCUCCGUUUACGAUCAUUCAGCUCCUCUCCAGCUACACCAUCAACGCCCGGGCGUCUCAGCUAGCGAUGGAAAAGAUUAAACCUCAGCCCCAAGCUGCUGCUACUCCGUAUCUGGACUAUUGGUCUGAUUCUGACCUGGACAUUUUUUGGUGA
rnacentral:rRNA from 1 species